rnacentral:rRNA from 1 species
UACGUAGGGUGCAAGCGUUAAUCGGAAUUACUGGGCGUAAAGCGUGCGCAGGCGGUUGUGCAAGACAGAUGUGAAAUCCCCGGGCUUAACCUGGGAAUUGCAUUUGUGACUGCACGGCUAGAGUGUGUCAGGAGGGGGUAGAAUUCCACGUGUAGCAGUGAAAUGCGUAGAGAUGUGGAGGAACACCGAUGGCGAAGGCAGCCCCCCUGGGUCAAAAACUGACGCUCAUGCACGAAAGCGUGGGGAGCAAACAGG